CGAUGGGUAAAGAUGAUGAGAAUUUGAAGGCGGAGGAUGUGGAGGAGGGAGAAAUUUCCUAUACGGCAUCAGUGGAAGAGAUCAGUGAGGAAGAUUUUAAUAAGCACGAGGUUAAGGUUGUAAAAGAAUCGAAACCCAAAGACGGUAGGAUUUGGACGAUGAGAGAUCUCUACAAGUAUCAGAUGGGAGGAGGAUACGUCUCCGGCUUGUAUAAUCUUGCU
rnacentral:misc_RNA from 1 species